rnacentral:rRNA from 1 species
UACGUAGGGUGCAAGCGUUGUCCGGAUUUAUUGGGCGUAAAGAGCUCGUAGGCGGCUGUUCAAGUCGAACGUGAAAACUCGGAGCUCAACUCCGAGCCUGCGUUCGAUACUGGACGGCUAGAGUCUGGUAGGGGGACCUGGAAUUCCUGGUGUAGCGGUGGAAUGCGCAGAUAUCAGGAGGAACACCGAUGGCGAAGGCAGCCCCCUGGGUCAAGACUGACGCUCAUGCACGAAAGCGUGGGGAGCAAACAGG